UACAUACAUGCACUUGGACGCUUCAAGGAUCUUGUGGCAUGUACUAAUGGACUAGUUUCUAUACUGGCUAUACUUAUUCUCCAUUAGCCCAAGCAUAUCAGGAAAUUUAGUAUUCAAGACUCACCAAUCUUUGCUAAACGGUCAGAUAAGGGAGUCAACCUUUUAGCUUCUCUAUGCUAGAAAAUAUGAUGCCUCAGAGGGCAAACUGCGAGGAGUAAUGGAAAUGACAAAUAACUUGAUAGUGGGCAUAUUGAA